rnacentral:rRNA from 1 species
GACGAACGCUGGCGGCGUGCUUAACACAUGCAAGUCGAACGCUGAAGCUUGGUGCUUGCACUGGGUGGAUGAGGGGCGAACGGGUGAGUAAUACGUGAGUAACCACCCCUUGACUCUGGGAUAAGCCUGGGAAACUGGGUCUAAUACUGGAUAUGACAUGCCACCGCAUGGUGGUGUGUGGAAAGGGGUUUAAUGGUUGUGGAUGGGGUCACGGCCCAUCAGCUAGUUGGUGGGGUCAUGGCCUACCAAGGCGAAGACGGGUAGCCGGCCUGAGAAGGUGGCCGGCAACAAGGGAACUGGGCCACGGACCAGUCACCAACGGGGGGCAGCAGUGGGGAAGAAUGCAGAAUGGCGCCAAGCGUGUUGCUGCGGCGGCGGGUGCGGGAUAUCGGCCUACUAGUUGUAAACCUAUUUCGACGCGCAAGAUGACAGGGUGACGGUACGUGAUGAAAAAGCGCCGGCUAACUACGUG